GCAAUAACUUCUCAGAUUGCAUUUAAUUAACUCCCUUUAUUUAACAUAAAAAAUUAUCUUGUGUAAUGAUUAUUUGCUUAUUUUACUUUCAGUGUCUGAUACAUGUAGUUGCAGUCUGUCUUUAGAAGCUGUUGAAGUAACAAGAAAGAGGCUACAUUGACAUCCUGUUUUGGUAGGGAGAAGUUUGAGUAUGUACAGUUGUUUGACCUUUUUUACCAUGUGGCAGUCCCAGAUGAUGUUACCAUUAUGAAUAAAUGCAGGGGAACUUGAAGACAAUGGUUAGUGCAGAAGGGACAUAAAAGUAAUGUGAAAGUAACAGAUAUAAAUAAGAAGUGCUACAAGUGUGUUGUCAUGUGAAAAGGACUUUACCCCAACUGUGCUGCAUGAUGUAUAUUCAAGAGUGAGACAGCCAUGCACCAUCUGUAAACUGAGAUGGACCCACACAUGAAAUAUGUUGACUUUUUCCAUGUAUUAUCAUCUGUACAGAAUGUGUUUAUGACAAGACUGUAUACACACAUAUUGUUAAAUCAUUUUUUAUUUCCAUUAUGGCAUGUAUGUAAGAAGAAAACAUUAAUUAAACAAUUGCAUUCAUAGAAAUGUUAAAAUGUGAUCAAUCUAAUUUAAAGAAUAACCUUUAUUUGGACUUUCUAAGUUUCAUAUUAUUUUUGGUGGAGACU
rnacentral:lncRNA from 1 species